rnacentral:lncRNA from 12 species
UUUGUCCACUUUCGACCACUUCUGUCCUGAUUCCAUCGAGGGGAGGGUCUAUUGGGCAGGUCCCUCUGCUUUUGUUGGAACUACAGUGGGAGGGUUAAACGCACAGUCCAGCUAUUUGUGUUGUUAUCAAACCAAGAUGCUCCACAACGUGCUGUGCAUGUUUAUGUAUGGGCUUUUUCAUUUAUCUCAAUCCAGCGGACAAAAUAAGCUCACACAACUGUUGUAUACUCGCAAAAUGAGAUGUCGGAAAAAGACGAAGAGAGCAGCAGCUUUUGUUUCUGCAGUGUUAGCCACAAGACCUCGCCGAACGAUGUGGACUUGGGCCAGAAGUCAGGACUGGUGGAAGAAUAUUGUGCUCGGUAUGUUUACUGAUGACCAGUGGCUUGAACAUUUUUGUAUGCGAUGACACACAUUUAAUGUUCUGUGUGAGAAACUGCAGCCGCUAUUAUACUGAAGACAAAGUCAUUUACGUCUGACUGUUUCUAAAGAGCUGAGGAUUACAGUUACUCUUUGGUAUCUUGCGACUGGCACAGAUUUCCGAACUUUGGCCAAGUUGUAUGGUCUUGGCAAAGCCACUGUGCACCACAUUGUGUGGGAGGUGUGUGUAGCUACGCAAAAUGCAAAGCCAGUUUAUUAAUUUGCCUAAAGGAGAGAAGCUUCAGGCAAUUGUUGAAGGCUUAAAGAACAGAUGGGGUUUUCCUCAGUGUGCAGGAGCAAUUGAUGGAUCUCAUAUACCCGUCACCUCUCCUUUUGAAGAUACUAAGGACUAUUUCAACAGAAAAGGGAGCUAUUCCAUCAUAUUACAGGCUGUCGUCGAUCACAAUUCACUGUUUACCAAUAUCAAUGUGGGAUGACCUGGCAGUGCUACAGAACUCCACCCUGUUUCACCUUGCAGAGAAUGGCAAACUGUUUGCAGCAGACACACAGGAAAUUGAGGGUGUAAAUGUCCCCAGUAUGCUUCUUGGAGACCCAGCAUACCCACUCUUGAGCUGGUUGAUGAAGGGAUUUCCAGACACUGGUAAUCUGUCUAGAGAACAGAGGCAUUUCAGCUACCGUUUGAGCCAUGCACACAUGACUGUGGAAUGUGCAUUUGGGCAGCUGAAGGGGAGGUGAUGUUUGCUGCUGUGUCCUACACAACUUGUGUGCAUUGCACACUGACAGUUUUUUGGAUGCUUGGAUGCAGGAUGUGAAGGAGACUGUUGAACUGAAGGCACCUGGCUUUCCAAUGCCACGUGAGAGAGGAGAACAGCCAUUGCAUGUUAGACAGGCACUU